rnacentral:rRNA from 1 species
CCCUUAGAUGUUCUGGGCAGCACGCGCGCUACAAUGGUCUUCGCAAACGGAUGCAUUCUCGAAGGAGAAUGCCAAUCUUGGAAUCUAUGCCUUGGUCGGGACAGUUGUUUGCAAUUUUUCGACUCGAACCAGGAAUUCCUUGUAAUCGUGAUUCAUCACAUCACGAUGAAUACGUCCCUACCCUUUGUACACACCGCCCGUCGCUCCUACCGAUCGAAGAGUUAGGUGAAUUGUUUUGAUCGAUAAGAUUUGACUAUGGUCAACUCUCGUUGUGAAAUUCUGUGAAUCUGACUGUUUAGAGGAAGGAAAAGUCGUAACA